AUUGAACGCUGGCGGCAGGCUUAGCACAUGCAAGUCGAGCGGUAACAGAGAGAAGCUUGCUUCUCUGCUGACGAGCGGCGGACGGGUGAGUAAUGCCUAGGAAUCUGCCUAGUAGUGGGGGAUAACUUGCCGAAAGGUAAGCUAAUACCGCAUACGUCCUACGGGAGAAAGGAGGGGACCUUCGGGCCUUUCGCUAUUAGAUGAGCCUAGGUCGGAUUAGCUAGUUGGUGAGGUAAUGGCUCACCAAGACCGCGAUCCGUAACUGGUCUGAGAGGAUGAUCAGUCACACUGGAACUGAGACACGGUCCAGACUCCUACGGGAGGCAGCAGUGGGGAAUAUUGGACAAUGGGGGGAACCCUGAUCCAGCCAUGCCGCGUGUGUGAAGAAGGUCUUAGGAUUGUAAAGCACUUUAAGUUGGGAGGGAGAGCAGUUAACUAAUAUUUGACUGUUUUGACGUUACCGACAGAAUAAGCACCGGCUAACUUCGUGCCAGCAGCCGCCGCCG
rnacentral:rRNA from 1 species